rnacentral:sRNA from 1 species
GAAGUUCCACCGACUAUCUAGUUCGAGGC